GCACGAUACCCCAGUGGCAGCAGCCCCGGAACGAUCAGCAGUCCCAGAUCUGCUAAGCGUGCCACAGCCUGCCAGACCUUUGAAGACCACCGCCAAGAACGAGGGAGCAGCAUCUUCAGACCCUCCACGGUGCAGCCUGGCCUAGGACUCAGGAUCACCCCCAGACCGCUGGCAGAGACCCACCCCCUGCUUCACACUGUUUAAGUCCCUAAGGAAUUCCCAAGCACCUCCUCGGAGGAAGAUUACAGAAGCCUGGACACCUGCAGCCCUGCGGGCAGGGCCAAGGGCGUCUUUGACCAAAAUGGACAAACUGGGCCCUCUGAGGCCUCUCCCUUCACCUUUGAGCAUGGCAUCAUGGAUAAUUUUUUUGAUUUCCGAGGCAGCUCAGGUGUGCACCAGCAGGCACACUUGCCCCUCGGAGAGUUGGGCAAGAUGCUGUUUUGGGGCAAGGACAUUGCACUGUUGGAGCAUGGGUGCCAGGCCCUUGAGGUGAACAGUUACAAGUCCCUGAUGAUCCGAGGUAUCCCGGAAGACUGAAAUCAUGAGAAGUUUGAAGAGAUCAUAAGUCCCCCACCCCGACCCUAAAACUUUGAAGUGGCUGGAAAGGCCUUUGUGGAAGAAGAGAGCUCUAGAGCAGUCCACCUUUAGGCUGGCUGAGGGCAUCAAUUACGCCGUGAUCCUCAGGGAAAUCAAGGGCAACGGCAGAACGUGGAGCAUGGGCUACAUGCCCCAGAAGCAGUUCCUGACCAAACCGACCUUCUUCCUGCAGAGCGAGGGCGGGACGGUGAAGGAUGUGUCCGGGGUCCUGAGACAGGAGCUGCGUUCAACAGUGAUGGGCCCCAAAGAGCUUCCUGCCAGGAAGUGCAUUGUGUAGGGGCCAGGGAAGAAGCGGGGGUCUGGGGCCACCGACAGGGUGAUCCAAGUGCCACCUCUGGACUCCCCAGAGAAGGAAAGCAAGGCUGGAGAUGGCAAGAAAGGCAAGGGGAAGCACAGAAAAACCGUUGACAGCACCACGCAUCUGACAAGGAGCUGUGAGGUUGGGCGUCAGCUGAGUGGGUGUGGGUAGCAACUUGGGAAGGUGGGUACCCUCUGAGUAAAUUUGGGGAAUGUGAGUAGCGUGGAUGAUGCGGUGAGGAUGGGUAUCAUUCAAGAGAGUGGGUAACUUUUGAGUAAGAAUGGGUAACAUCUGACUAGUGUGAGUGAAGGUGGGUAUUUUUAUCUGAGUGAACUCGUGGGUGGCAUCUUAGCGGGUGCGGUUAACAUCUAGCUGAGUGGGGAUCACUGGUCCAUUCAUUCGUGUGCAUUGCACACCUACCAUGCCCCAGGAGCUGUUCCAGGAGCUGGGGAUAUAGAACUGAGCGUACCCAACACAAGGUUCUACCUUCACACCCCUCCUGCUGCUGCUGCUGCUGCUGCUAAGUCGCUUCAGUCGCGUCCGACUCUGUGUGACCCCAUAGAUGGCAGCCCACCAGGCUCCCCCAUCCUUGGGGUUCUCAGGCAAGAACACUGGAGUGGGUUGCCAUUUCCUUCUCCAAUGCAUGAAAGUGAAAAGUGAAAGUGAAGUCGCUCAGUUAUGUCCGACUCUUAGCGACCCCAUGGACUGCAGCCUACCAGGCUCCUCCAUCCAUGGGAUUUUCCAGGCAAGAAUACUGGAGUGGGAUGCCAUCACCUUCUCUUCACACCCCUGCUAGUGAGUGGUUAAUGUUUCAGUUACUUGGGAACCUCUGAGUGGGUGUGGGUACCAUGAGAACAGAUGUGGAUAAUAUCUGGUUGAGUAUGAAUCAUUCAUUCACUCAACAAAUGUUUCCUGGACACCUACAGUGUUGUUGUCCAGUCGCUAAGUCAUGUCCAACUCUUUGCAACCCCCUGGAUGGCAGUACACCAGGCUUCCCUGUCCUUUGCUAUCUCUCCGAAUUUGCUUAAACUCAUGUCCAUUGGUGAUGCCAUCCAACCAUCUCAUCCUCUAUCUCCCCCUUCUCCUCCUGCCCUCAAUCCUUCCAAGCACCAGGGUCUUUUCCAGUGAGUCAACUCUUCACAUUAGGUGACCAAAGUAUUGGAGCUUCAGCUUCAGCAUCAGUCUUUCCAAUGAAUAUUCAGGGUUGAUUUCCUUUAGGAAUGACUGGUUUGAAAUUCUUGCUGUCCAACGGACUCUCAAGAGUCUUCUGCAGCUCUGCAGUUUGAAAGCAUCGCCAGGCACUAUUCCAGGCACUUUGGAUACAUCAGGGAACAAAAGAGACCCAAAUCUUGCCCUCGCAGCAUUCAUAUUAAAUAUUUGAGUACACGUGGGUAACGUCUGAGUUGUUUGAAUAGUUGAAUACAUAUGAGCGAGCAUGGGUCACUUGAGUGUGUGGGUAGCAUCUCGAGUACGAGCGAGUACAUAAACUCGAAUGGGUAAUAUCUGAGUAGUUGUGCACAACAUUUGGGGCUUCCCUGGCGGCUCAGAAGGUGAAGAAUCUGCCUGCAAAUGUAGGAGACCUGAGUUCAUUCCCUGAGUCUGAAAGAUCUGGAAAAGGGAAUAGCUGUGGGAGUGAUACCUGAAUACGCACGCGGGUAUUAUUUGAGUGGAGUAAGGGUAACUUCUGAGCGAGGAUGAGUCCCAAAGAUCCACAGAGUGGAACAACCCGGAGAUGCCGGGGUACCAGCUGCGCAGUCGCAGUUGGAGCCUAGCAGCUGGUCCGAGGGUUGCUAUGGAGACUGUGGGCUGCUUCUGGCGCCUGCGUAAACAGGUAUUUUCGAGAAGUGGAAGAGGAAAUAGGGUCUGGAAUUCCAGGGUUUUGCAGAAGGUCUCUUACCAGAGUUGAGGAAGAGCCACGCAGGAAGAACGUUUCCGGGAGAUCCGUGCUUGGGAGCAAGGCCAAGAUCCCCUUUGCCAUUCAUGGCGGCCUGAUGUUGGGGACAAACCCUCUUGCUGGGUGGGUAUUUCGGGGAGGAGGCCCAGACCCCUUCAGCUUUGGGAUCUGCUGGAAAUCCGCCCAUUGCAAAGUCUAGAGCCAUUUUUUUUGUUUCGUUUUGUCUUUUAUAAGGAUUGGGCUUCCCUGAUAGCUCAGUUGGUGAAGAAUCUCCCUGCAAUGCGGGAGACCUGGGUUUAAUCCCUGGGUUGGGAAGAUCCCCUGGAGAAGUGAAAGGCUACCCACUCCAUUACAGAGCCUGCUGUAUAGUCCAUGGAGUCGCAAAGAGUCAGACACAACUGAGCAACUUUGUCUUUCACCUCUAAUAUACAUCUGGUAUAAGCUUGUCCACAAUGGGCCACUCUUUUGCACAAGGCAAGCAGAUACCAUGGCAGAGAAUGCGAGGUGCCUCCUUACCAGGUAUGGAAACCUCACUGCUCUGCGUGUGACUUGAAAAAAGCUGUCACUGUCUUCUACAGGCUGGGGGGUCGCAAAGAGUCAGACACAACUGAGAGACUCACACACACACUUUAAUCAUAAAACCGCUAGGACCCAGAUCUCCACUGACAAUGAACAGAUAAACUGUGGAGUAAUCACAUAUAAUGAACAAAAAGAAAUGAGCUACAGAUACACAGAGCAACACAAAUGAAUCUCAAAACCACGAUGCUAAAUGAAAGAAGCCAGACAAAAAGGGCACAUGCUAUAUGAGUCUUUUAAUAUAAAACUCUAGCAAAAGCAGCACUUGAAGGAUAGAAAUCAGAUCAGUGGUCGGGGGGGCAGGCAAAAGGGGACUGCCACAAAAAGUGCAAGGGAAGUUUUAGGGGGUUCUAUAUAUUUUGGGGGGAUGGUUUUUUUAGGGUUCUGGUGGUGAUCUGACUCUAAAACUUACCACAGGGGACAUUUUAAAAAGAAUAUGUUGUAUAAGAUGUAAAGUAUACUUUCAGUAAAGCUGACAAUGAAAUAAACAGUGGGGUGGUCUGGAGGUGGGCUGCAUGAGUAAAGUACUUCAUUUCCAUGCCUCAAUUUUUCCCAUCUGUGAAAUGGGUUGAUAAUAAUAGUACCUAUUGCUGAGAGUGGUCAUGAAGACUCAAAAAGAUGUUGUCUGUAAGAUCAAGUGGUCAGUAAGGAGGAGACGACUUUGCGAGAAAGUUCAAUGAAAGAUAUCUAAACGCCAAAGGUUUAAUUGAAUCCUGAGAGAAGGAAGGUCUAACCACUGGAUUGCCCUAGUAUGAGGCUGGCAACCAGGGGCAGGCAGCAGACAGAAAUUCUGCAGGCCAGGCCAGGAGGCAUUUUAAAACAUUUCCAAGGUUCCCAUCACCGAAAACAGCCUGCUGGGGGUCAGGACACAGCGUAAGAAUUCUUUCACUUCAGCAAUAAUUAUUCUGCAGAGACAAGGUCAAGGAAUAAAAGUUGAAGGUUUUAAUUUAAAGUUUUCUCCAUUGGAAUCUGAAGAAUUAGUAGCUACACUCGAGGGUCUGGGUUCCUGUCCUGUGGCUGCUGUAAAAAAUGACCACAGACCAGCUGGCUCAGAACAACUGUGAUUUAUUCUCUCACAGCCCUGUCAGCCAGAAGUCCAAAAUGAAGGUGUCUGCAAAGCUGUGUGCUCUCCAGACACUCUAUGAAGGAGGCUUCCUUACUUCUUGCAGCUUCUGGUGACUCUAGGUGUUCCUGGGCUGGGGCCCCAUCACUCUGGUCUCUGCCUCCGUCUCCACAUAGCCUCCUCUGAUUCUGUGCCUCUUCUCUAUGUCUGCAUCCUCUUCCUUUGCUUCUUUCUUUCUUUUCUUUUUUCUUUUGGCUGUGCUAGGUCUUCACUGCUGUGUGCAGGCUUUCUCUAGCUGCAGUGUGUAGGGGCUACUCUCCAGCUGCAGUGCUCGGCUUCUCGUUUUGAUGGCUUCUCUUGUUUCCGAGCAUGGCCUCUAGGCUGCAAGCUUCAAUAGCUGUAUGUAGCAUGGGCUCAGGAGUCAUGGUGCAUGGGCUUAGUUGCCCCGUGGCAUUUGGAAUCUUCCCGGGAUCGAACCCACGUCCCUUGCACUGGCAGACAGGUUCUUAACCUCUAGGGAAGUCCUGCUUCUCUCUUAUAAGGACAUUCCAGACGGCAGUUAGGGUCCACCCAGAUAAUCCAUGGCAAUCUCAUCUCAAAUCUUGACUGACAUCUGCAAAGACCCUUUUUCCAAAUAAAGCAACAUUUUCAAAUUCCAGGAAUUAGGGUGUAAAAUCUUUGGGUAGAUAUUUUUCAACCUGAGAGAUCUCCCCACCUCCACCACUCUAAAGGGCUUGUCUCCACUGCUAACACUGGACAAACCCUAAUUUCCAAUCUGGCUUUUUGCUGGUACUGUGGUACUUCCAGUCGGUCAAGUUCCUAUGUGGACAUUCAGCUUCUCUCCUACCUCUGCCCAGCCCCACCAGCCA
ensembl:lncRNA